CUGGCGAAGUUAGGUUUUCGUUUUCGGUACGACUCUUCUAAGGUAGCUGCAUGGUUGUCGUCAGCUCGUGCCGUGAGGUGUCGGGUUAAGUCCCAUAACGAGCGCAACCCUUACUGUUAGUUGCCAGCGGGUCAAGCCGGGAACUCUAACGGGACUGCCACCGUAAGGUGAGAGGAAGGUGGGGAUGACGUCAAAUCAGCACGGCCCUUAUGUCCAGGGCUACACACGUGUUACAAUGGUCGGUACAAAGGGCAGCUACACCGCGAGGUGAUGCUAAUCUCUAAAGCCGGUCUCAGUUCGGAUCGAAGUCUGCAACCCGACUUCGUGAAGUUGGAUUCGCUAGUAAUCGCGCAUCAGCCAUGGCGCGGUGAAUACGUUCCCGGGCCUU
rnacentral:rRNA from 1 species